rnacentral:misc_RNA from 1 species
GCAGUGAAGCCUCGCUAAGG